GAGGCAGAAGAGCAGAGGGCAAGGAUCAGCCUGAGGCUACUUCUUUGCAAAGGGUUCAGAUGUUUCCUCCUGACUCUCCUUUUCUGGUAGCCUAUCAAUUCUUUAAUUGCCGUGUUCUAGAAGGAAGGAAACUAGAACUGAAUGGGAAGGAAUGGAGGGAUUUCCUGGUUGGCUAUGAAGUCCAAGAGCUCCCUGGAGAUUCCUGGUGCCAGCCAAAGCCCGCUGCUGGAAAAAUCUGGAGGAACACAGCAGAGAUCUGACCAAAGACUUCUUGGAAUGCUGAAGGAGGCCAAAAUUGGACAACCGGCACCGUACUGAGGGCUUCAAAGGGCAGGAGGGAAAAGGAAGGAACAAGAGAGUAAGAAAGAAGGCAAGAAGAGUACAUUCUGGUGGUUAAACCAUUGAUCUGGGGUUCAGGGGAUUUGAAUGUUUUCCCCAGUUCUGCCACAGACUUGCUACGUAGCUGGUUGCUGUUUCAUCAAUCCUGAAAACAGUCCGGAAGAUGACAGCUGGUUUUCACUUCUCUUGGUUUUUAAGGGAUUUAAAUGAACAAUUGC